rnacentral:rRNA from 1 species
UACGUAGGUGGCAAGCGUUGUCCGGAUUUACUGGGCGUAAAGAGCGCGCAGGCGGUCGUUCAAGUCGCGUGUGAAAGCCCCCGGCUCAACUGGGGAGGGUCACGCGAUACUGAUCGACUCGAAGGCAGGAGAGGGUAGUGGAAUUCCCGGUGUAGUGGUGAAAUGCGUAGAUAUCGGGAGGAACACCAGUGGCGAAGGCGACUACCUGGCCUGUCUGACGCUGAGGCGCGAAAGCUAGGGGAGCAACGGGG